UACAAGCAUCUGAUGAGUGAGUGUCUAGGUUAUAGAAACAGAGAUACCCUCUUUCCACUGUAAUAUUUCUGUUGAUAGGCUCUGUUUAGAAGAUUAAUUAUUAAUGUCAUCAUUCAUGAAUUACAGGGAAUGAAAAACAGGAGAAAGGGAAGCAGAGAAGGAUGUGCUAAUGUUACGAUGUUUUAUAACAUUUUCAAACCCUAAGUUCUUCCACCAAUCGGACCAUGUCACUUAAAUUUAAGGCUCUAAUAACAUUGGCUUACAGAAAUAUUUUCACUUGUAUGACUUCACUCGUCCUUGAUGCCAGAGUUCAAAAGGGUGUAUAAAUAAGACAGGAGGAGGGACACAUUAUCACAGACCAAUAACAAUGACAACAAAAGUACCUCAAAGCUCUUAACAAGUAUAAAGCUAGAAAUGAUCUGAGGCUUGUGAAAAAUACUGAUUAACACAAAAAUGAUUUUAAAAGCAAUAUUCAGAAAAAGUAGAGUAAUGGAGACCUGGUCCUGGCACAGAUGGUGUUACCUUAAAAAUAUAUCACAGAGAAUGUAUAAUUAUUGACUGUAUUUAUAUCUUCUCUAUCCAAGAUCUUCACAUUUGAAAGGAGCAGACAAACAUCACCAGUAUGAUGGGACUGAAGCCCAAGAUUGGUAACGUGAUGGAUUUGCAGAAAGAACCAACAACUCCUACAGAUGAUGACAGUUCUCAUUCUAACACUAUCUGUGUUGUAACAAAGCCACUGGUUAAAUAAUGAGUCCAGAUAAAAAUGAUGUGAUAUCGUGAAGUCAUCUUCUUCAGAUUCGUAUUUGGGCAAGCUUCCAAAGGAUUUCCUAAGGCCAAAUCUAAAAUAGCGAAGAGGAAAAUACAUAAAUUUAUCCUUUAAUAAUUGUAUUCCCAGGAAAGUCCUAUCUUUGGACUUAAAUUACUAGGAAAUUAUUCUAAUUGUUUCAAUAAAAGAACUGUUGUUAAAAAUAA